rnacentral:rRNA from 1 species
GACAGAGGGGGCAAACGUUGCUCGGAAUUACUGGGCGUAAAGGGCGUGUAGGCGGGAAGGCAAGUGGGGCGUGAAAGCCCCAGGCUCAACCUGGGAACUGCACUCGAAACUGCCUUUCUUGAGUGCCGGAGAGGAAAGCGGAAUUCCUGGUGUAGAGGUGAAAUUCGUAGAUAUCAGGAGGAACACCAGUGGCGAAGGCGGCUUUCUGGACGGUAACUGACGCUGAGACGCGAAAGCGUGGGGAGCAAACAGG